rnacentral:rRNA from 1 species
GUGAGGAAUAUUGCGCAAUGGAGGCAACUCUGACGCAGCCAUGCCGCGUGCAGGAAGAAGGCGCUACGCGUUGUAAACUGCUUUUAACCGGGAAGAAACCCCAGGACGUGUCCUGGGUUGACGGUACCGGAGGAAUAAGCACCGGCUAACUUCGUGCCAGCAGCCGCGGUAAUACGAAGGGUGCAAGCGUUAUCCGGAUUCAUUGGGUUUAAAGGGUGCGUAGGCGGAGCGUUAAGUCAGUGGUGAAAUCCUUCAGCUUAACUGUAGACUUGCCAUUGAGACUGGCGCUCUUGAGUGCGCUUGAAGUGGGCGGAAUGUGCCGUGUAGCGGUGAAAUGCUUAGAUAUGGCACAGAACACCAAUUGCGAAGGCAGCUCACUAAGGCGAUACUGACGCUGAGGCACGAAAGCGUGGGGAUCGAACAGGAUUAGAAACCCCGGUAGUCC